rnacentral:lncRNA from 1 species
UUCCUGAAAGAAGAGUAGGGAGAAUUUCUGGAAAUAAAAAGGUGCAGCCAAUUCUCUGAUCCUGAGAAACCUGCAGACUCAUUUACCUGGAAGAAGGGAAUCAGCUCCUGCAGGCUCUGCAAGGAGCACCAUACUUACAUUCCUCAAGCCAGAACUCAGGAGUUCCUCCAUCUCCCAGUCACAAAGGAGGCUGGGAAAUGUACUGUA